CAUGCAAGUCGUGCGGUAAGGCCAUUCGGGGUACACGAGCGGCGAACGGGUGAGUAACACGUGGGUGAUCUGCCUCGCACUCUGGGAUAAGCCUGGGAAACUGGGUCUAAUACCGGAUAUGAGCACGGGAUGCAUGUCCUGUGUUGGAAAGGUUUACUGGUGCGAGAUGGGCCCGCGGCCUAUCAGCUUGUUGGUGGGGUAACGGCCUACCAAGGCGACGACGGGUAGCCGACCUGAGAGGGUGACCGGCCACACUGGGACUGAGACACGGCCCAGACUCCUACGGGAGGCAGCAGUGGGGAAUAUUGCACAAUGGGCGAAAGCCUGAUGCAGCGACGCCGCGUGAGGGAUGACGGCCUUCGGGUUGUAAACCUCUUUCGACAGGGACGAAGCGCAAGUGACGGUACCUGUAGAAGAAGCACCGGCCAACUACGUGCCAGCAGCCGCGGUAAUACGUAGGGUGCGAGCGUUGUCCGGAUUACUGGGCGUAAAGAGCUGUAGCGGUCUGUCGCGUCUCUGUGAAAACUUGGGGCUCAACCCCAAGCUUGCAGGGGAUACGGGCAGACUAGAGUACUUCAGGGGAGACUGGAAUUCCUGGUGUAGCGGUGAAAUGCGCAGAUAUCAGGAGGAACACCGGUGGCGAAGGCGGGUCUCUGGGAAGUAACUGACGCUGAGAAGCGAAAGCGUGGGUAGCGAACAGGAUUAGAUACCCUGGUAGUCCACGCCGUAAACGGUGGGUACUAGGUGUGGGUUUCCUUCCACGGGAUCCGUGCCGUAGCUAACGCAUUAAGUACCCCGCCUGGGGAGUACGGCCGCAAGGCUAAAACUCAAAGGAAUUGACGGGGGCCCGCACAAGCGGCGGAGCAUGUGGAUUAAUUCGAUGCAACGCGAAGAACCUUACCUGGGUUUGACAUACACCGGAAAGCCAUAGAGAUAUGGCCCCCCUUGUGGUCGGUGUACAGGUGGUGCAUGGCUGUCGUCAGCUCGUGUCGUGAGAUGUUGGGUUAAGUCCCGCAACGAGCGCAACCCUUAUCUUAUGUUGCCAGCGCGUAAUGGCGGGGACUCGUGAGAGACUGCCGGGGUCAACUCGGAGGAAGGUGGGGACGACGUCAAGUCAUCAUGCCCCUUAUGUCCAGGGCUUCACACAUGCUACAAUGGCCGGUACAGAGGGCUGCGAUACCGUGAGGUGGAGCGAAUCCCUUAAAGCCGGUCUCAGUUCGGAUCGGGGUCUGCAACUCGACCCCGUGAAGUUGGAGUCGCUAGUAAUCGCAGAUCAGCAACGCUGCGGUGAAUACGUUCCCGGGCCUUGUACACACCGCCCGUCACGUCAUGAAAGUCGGUAACACCCGAAGCCGGUGGCCUAACCCUUGUGGAGGGAGCCGUCG
rnacentral:rRNA from 1 species